AUCUGCUUUGUUCCUGUUUCUUUUCACAUGUGUUUUCCCUGUAUUCCUCCAACCUGCUUUUUGUUACCUGCCUGCCAUCUUGCCCGCCAGUUUGCCUGCGCUGUCAUCCUGUGCCUGAUGUCAUUUGGGACCAGAGUCUAAGCAGCAGUGAUCAGGUUUGGAGCCAAGGAACCAAAAUCUACAUUAUUCGGGGCAGUUACAUUCACUCUGGGGAAAAACGAGGGAGGGAGACCAUCGGGACCAACCUUGGUCUGGAUGCUCAGGUCCAGUGAUGUGGUCGGGGCGUUGGAGGAAGAGCUGUGCUAGAUCCACUGUUGCUGAAAUGAUCAUGGAAACAUCAAGAGUUUGAAGCUCGUCACAGGGAUCGAGCAGGACUUGCAAUUACAAUUGGCAGUUCCCUCAGAUGAAAAUCAUCUUCUCUGCGACCACCCAGCGAUGCCGGUAGAGGUCUGCCCAACCCAAAAAGAUGGAUAAAGCCUGGCAUUUUAUUAACACUGUGAUGGAUGCCAUUCUUUUGUCUAUUUUUGGAAGCAUUGUACAUAAUCCUCAGAUAAAGUAUAGAGGUCCUUGCCAUUUUUUGCAUGACAGAAUUCAUUUCACCCUUCUGGGAAAUUAUAUAUUUUAAAAAAUAUUGCCCUGUGUCUGAAAGACCAAAUCCAGCAGUUUCCAGUCCUUCUGUCUCAUAUUCACCAACCAAAGGUUCAGUCUUGCUGCAACAUGAUCAACUGUGCUAAAAAUAUAUGUAGUUAUUAUCAAUGGGCAAUGCAGUUUUAAUGUUUUGUAUAAUUUUUUCACAGAAUGUAGGCUUUGCAUAGUAAAGGUAAUGUUGUGAACCAUUAUUCAUUAACAUAAUUCAGAUUGCUUUUUAGCUGGGGAAUUUAAUGUAUAAGGCUUAAGAUUCUCCUGAUCCCCACAAUAUACAGAAACAUUCACAGAAGCUUUGAAAUUGUAUACUGUCAUACUAUAGUUUUACCUUGGGCAACUGGUCAGCCUGUUUGAACAAAUGUGACUGAUUGAGGACAUUGGUAUCAUGAGCACUACCAGGCACUUUACAGUUCACACUCCAAUAAGUUAAACACAAAGUAGGGUUUUGUUACAUAACUAUGAGAGAGGUUGUCUGUUACAAGGGGCCCUUUCAUCUGAAUCUUUCCCCUGCUCGGGGAAGACUUUUCAUUGCUCUGUUGUUAUUCCUGCUAAAAAAUGAAAAUAAAAUGAGGAUGUGAAUGAAAU